rnacentral:tRNA from 1 species
GGCUCUGUGGCGCAAUGGAUAGCGCAUUGGAUUUCUAAUUCAAAGGUUGUGGGUUCGAGUCCCACCAGAGUCG